GCAACUUAAACAUGUCGGCUCAUUCACAGUUGAACCGAGGAAAGCGAUGGCUGCAGCACUCCCCCAACACCUUCCUGAUACCGGGAAGAUGAAUGGUUGUGUUGUAACGAAGGCGCGAAGGGACCCCGAGUCGUGGAGGAAAUGUCUCCAUCACACAGGCGGAGAGGCGGGGCGACGGGGCGGGCCGGAUGGUGAGCAGGCUGGAUGCUGUCGUGGCGGGAGAGCAAAUGGAUAAAUGGAGGAAAAAGAGGCAGAAAUGUCGCGGUGAACAUUUCACGCAUUGUUUCCAAAUACGAUUCAGAAUAAGGUUGGUGGAAACGUGUGGAGAUAUCGCGUGCAAAGCCGAAACCCGAUCCUGCC
ensembl:lncRNA